CUGGUCAGACCAUCCUCCAUGGAUACAGUUUUGGUGACUGUAUGUGGAGAGGUAAAGAGCUAGGAGAUAAAAGGAAUAAACAAACAACAAUGGAAAUGAGUAAAAAUAAUUUAAGGCUGUAGCUGCCUGACUGCAGCUAGUUUCCAGAAAAGCAAGUUGGGGGAAAAGUUCCUAUAAUGGCUACGCUGCAGAGAGAAGAAGUAAUAGGUAGCAGCUCAUGUUAUCGGCACAGACCUGCGGUCCAGCUUGUCCAGGAUCCUGUCUCCAUCAAUGGCCACCACCACAUGCUUUGGAGCAAGGAAUGAGA